GUAAAUUUUUUGCAUUCUCUGACGGUCACAAAAGAAUUGAAUGUUAACGUUACGGAUUAUCUAAUUAUCGGACUAAUGAUAACCGUAGAACACGUAUUUAAACACAAUAAGGCACUUACCUGUUGUCUCAAGCGGUCGCGAUGUUGUUCUGUGCUGGGACGCUGCGAAGUGAGUCCUUCACCUCAGACGAAUAUGACGGGGUUUCCGGCAGAUUAAGACAGGGGCAGGCGUACGAUUCGCCUAGUCUACAAAAUUGAUUAAUUUCUUGACCAAUCACAGACCAGUAAUCUUUUUCACCUGUGUUGGGCACGCGUUUGUUAGCUUGUCUAGACCACGGCAUUGUCAUUCGAUUCUUGAGUCAUGCGAGAACGUAACCGCUUCGUCUCGCACCAACGUACGCGAACUAUCUACAAACGGCAACGGAUACAAGGGUUGCCGACGAGAGACGUCGACGCCAACCUUUACUGCAGGUGUUUCACGAUAACGUCCGGGGAUAUAUCGUUUUAUACGUCGAGACAGACGACAAGCUCUGCUAUUCUAUGAACUCUGACAGCAGAAGUCGUGACUGCAGAAUCAGUGAACAGUUCUGAAACACGGUUGGACUGGCUGGCUGGGGAAGAAAGAGUACUGUGUGUGACAGGAGGGUGACACGACAGGCAGCAAAGCCUAAUUCACCUGGGAACCCUGCAAGAUAUCCCCCACAAGCAAAAUAAUGUCUGGACGCACUAAUAAGGGAGGAGCUGGAUAAGGGAGGUGCCAGCUGCCAGCGUCACUGAAGGUGUUUCUCGACAUCAGUGCAUCACCAAGCCAAGGAGGCACCAAGCCAAACACUGGGAAGUCGCCGGGAAGGAGACAUCUCUCAGUAUCUUCCAGGAUCAACCACACUGAAAUGGUGGGACUGAUCCCGGUGAGAGGUUGUCUAAUGCCAAGUACGCCAUCUCCACAACCAGAAAGGCCAGUGUUCGUGUGUACGCCAUACCAGAGGACCUGAAACUGUUAAGUUCGUACAUAUCUUACAAGGGUUUAAUUGUUUGAAACGGAAUCAUCUUGCAGAAAUGGGCUGGGAUUGACUUGACAUCGGCAUGAUAGGAAGUAAAUGAUCUGUGAUAUUACAUUCAUAGUUUUAGCUGAUAUUAAGAUUCCCUUUGUCUACAUGAGGCAUUGUCGGCAGGGCUGAUCAGUUUCUUGGUUGGUGGUAGGGUGCUUGAGUGUGUUUUGUUGACACCCUGAGUGAUGUUGUUGGUAGGUGGCUAGGGCAUUUUGUGAGUGGGGGCUUCUUUUGCACACGGGACUUCAGCCCGUUUCUGUGGUGUACAGGCCCGGUGUGUGGCUGGCUUGGCUUCUGUGACUGUGUUAAUGGUUGAGAUUGUGUUCGGAGUUACUGCGAAGUUCAGUCCUUUAGAGAGCAGGAAUUUCCUGGAUCUGUUGACUUGUGACGACUUGGGUUCUUCUACCAUCUGUCGUCUUUUCUGCCUUGUGUGAUGGUCUAGGGCCGGGAACCUACUAGUAGACCAUUACAUAAGAUGCCCUGUGUCGUAAUCUUGGCUCCCGAACCAAGACGACGGCACAGGGACAGAAAGGAAGACAGGUGGUUGAAGAGUGCAAGUUGUUGUGAGCUGACAGAAACGGGAGGUCUCGGUUCUCUGAAGGACAGAACUUUGCAGUAACUUCGAAUGCAGUCUCAGCCAUGGACAUGGUCACAGAAACCGAAUCGGCCAUAUAUCGGGCCUGUAUACUGCAGAAACAGGCUGAAGCGCUGUGUGUAGAAGUAGCCACUGCUCUCAGAAUGUCCUAACCUCCUACCAGCAGCAUUACUCGGGAUGUCAUCAAAAUGUACUCAACACCUUGCCGCUUAUCAAGAGAUCAUGAUUCUUUCCGCUGAUAAUGCUUCAGGUAGACAGAGGGGAUGGGUGAACAUUUCUAGGUUGAACCUAGAACUGAAACUACAAUCACAAAUCAAGUUACUUCCUGUCAUGCCCCCAGCAGUCUGUAGAUGAAGUUCUUGUUUUCACAGAAUACAAAGUGAACAAUUUUACAGCCAUCAAGUAUGUUAUAUCCUAUAGAUACGCGUAGUUCAGUUUACUAAGAGUUACGUACUGUGUUCUGAUGGCGUCUGGGUUGGACUGUAGGCAGUUGUCGUUAAAAAAAUCCUAUACAUAGUACAAAUUGACGUAUUUCUUGUAUUCCUUCUACACAUGUAUGAAGGCUUUUUGUUCUCGAUUACUCGUGUAUUUUGUGGCUUUUCUAGUACAAUACUAGCCACCUUGUCAUAGAAAGUCAUCUUGUCCAAGAAAACUAAGACCUGUAAUCUUUUUCUGUGAUUAACGUUUGAAAUCUAAUGUCAAGUACAACAUGACCAACAUAUUGUACACUUUGUUUCCCCAAAUGUAUCAAGAAAUAUUAUUGAAUAAACAGUUUUAAAC